rnacentral:rRNA from 2 species
GAUGAACGCUGGCGGCGUGCCUAAUACAUGCAAGUCGAGCGAACUGAUUAGAAGCUUGCUUCUAUGACGUUAGCGGCGGACGGGUGAGUAACACGUGGGCAACCUGCCUGUAAGACUGGGAUAACUUCGGGAAACCGAAGCUAAUACCGGAUAGGAUCUUCUCCUUCAUGGGAGAUGAUUGAAAGAUGGUUUCGGCUAUCACUUACAGAUGGGCCCGCGGUGCAUUAGCUAGUUGGUGAGGUAACGGCUCACCAAGGCAACGAUGCAUAGCCGACCUGAGAGGGUGAUCGGCCACACUGGGACUGAGACACGGCCCAGACUCCUACGGGAGGCAGCAGUAGGGAAUCUUCCGCAAUGGACGAAAGUCUGACGGAGCAACGCCGCGUGAGUGAUGAAGGCUUUCGGGUCGUAAAACUCUGUUGUUAGGGAAGAACAAGUACAAGAGUAACUGCU